rnacentral:lncRNA from 1 species
UCAGAACUACAAAUUAUUAUUAUUAUUAUUAUUAUGAUAUUUAUAGAGCACCGUCAAAUUCCGCAGCGCUUUACAAUGGGUGGACGAACAGACAUGGAGUUGUAACCAGACAAGUUGGACACACAGGAACAGAGGGGUUGAGGGCCCUGCUCAAUGAGCUUACAUGCUAGAGGGAGUGGGGUAAAAUGACACAAAAAGGUAAGGAUAGUAUUAGACUAGUGACAGUUGCAGAAGAG